GACGUAGGGCGCGAGCGUUGUCCGGAUUGAUUGGGCGUAAAGAGCUCGUAGGCGGCUCGUUGCGUCGGCUGUGAAAACCCGCAGCUCAACUGUGGGCCUGCAGCCGAUACGGGCGGGCUGGAGUUCGGUAGGGGAGACUGGAAUUCCUGGUGUAGCAGUGAAAUGCGCAGAUAUCAGGAGGAACACCGGUGGCGAAGGCGGGUCUCUGGGCCGAUACUGACGCUGAGGAGCGAAAGCGUGGGGAGCGAACAGG
rnacentral:rRNA from 1 species